GGCUCGGUGGUGGAUGGUCCACAUCUGUCUUCUGUAUCCAGUUGCCAAUAGACUUGAGUAGGAGAAGCCUGUUCGAAUCAGGCCCGAGCCC